rnacentral:lncRNA from 10 species
GUCUAGAGAAAUUGAAAGUGAGGUGACAUCAUUGGCAAUGGAGUAACAGCCAGGAUUCAACAGGAUCAGGAUGAGGGAGUGGAGGAUCCUGUCUGCAGAAAGAGAAGGUUGUUCCACAAGUGCAGAGAGGAAGCAGAGAGCUGGAGCUUGUCAUGCUGGAGAAGGACAAUGGACAGAGCAACUUUCUUGAUUCCAAAUGUGUUCCUGCCCCUGCUCACAAGACCUGCUGCAGUUCACACCCUCAGUUUCCAUGAGCUAUACAGCAUUCCUUUGAUUCGAAAAGUCUCCCUUUUUGAGUUAAUCCAUUCUUAUUGAGCUUCUAUUACUUGCAAUCAAAAGAGUAGAUCUAAGAGAAGGUAUGUCUCCCCUGUACUCUAACAGGCCAUGACUGACUUCUUCCACUCCUGGCAUUUGCUAUUUCUCCUGUUAUUGCAGAUGCUUGACUUGCUAUUUCUGUUCUUGUUGCAUUUUCCUGAAAUGGAGAAAUAGCCUUCCUUUGGCCAUUAUAGACUCCGGGGAGUCUACAGAGUGCUUGGCAUCUCGCUCUGGCAUCUUUUGAAAGAUGUUUAAUGACAUUUUUCUUGCCUUCAACUGGCUUUUUGAAAUUCCAGCCUCUUUCCAUGGUGUAGCCUCCCUGGAGCAGGGUGGCUGGGACAUGAGAGAACACACUGGGCUGCUUUGUAAGUGUUCUCUCUGUUAUGUCUACCAUACAGUGCUUGGAGACUAUGUGGACUCAACUUUCUCUCCACUCAAACACCUUCAGUAUUCAAGAUCCUUCCUGGAGGGUGAAGGAGUCGCAUUGUCUCUGACUUUGGGAGACUCUUAGUUCUGGCUGUUGGAAAGGACUUGUGCUGGGUAUUUUGUACUUGCCUCUCAGGUCUACUGUCUACACUUCUUCGUGCUGCACUGGGCUUUAGGAGGCCGAUCCACAUGGACUGCAUGCAUGGGCUCCCUUCCCCUCUGGCUCCUGAGUAGGCCUGACCAAGAGGGCACACUGACAGGAGAUUGGAUGAAGGGAGGGAGGAGAGAGAGACUAGGGUGUUCACUUCCCCUGCUCACUUCCUAGGGUUGUCAUUGGCUGACUGCUUCCCUCAGGUGAAGGUGACAGCUCUGAGAGGCGGCCCUUUCCAUGGAGUCCUCUCUGUCACAGUAACUGCUCUCCCCCUUACCUUUCCAAGUCUAGGGAUGGUAACAAGACCCAACCAUCACCCUAGAUAUCACAUCAUCCUUUAAAAUCUCCCUAUCCCCUGCCCACAUCUGUAAACUCUUUUAAGCUUACACCAUUUGAAUGUGUUUCUCUUUCCUGAUGGGACCCCAACCCAUACAGAGCCUUGACCUUAACGUGACCAGUCUGCCCCAUUAAAGGCUCUGGAAGCCCGGGGAGCCUACUGAUUCUUGCUUUACCCAUUCUCAGGGAAUGCCAUGCUUGACUAAAUUUUUUGGUUUAGACACAGACACCGAGACUCUUGUUAUCAGCUUUCUGUUACUUUCUCCUUUUGCAUAGUCCAGUGAUUUUCAACCUUGAAUAUAAACCAGAACCACCAUAGUUUCUUCCUGUUAAUUUGAGCCUAUCCUGUCUUUUUUAUUAUGGUAUAAUUAUUCCAAGUCAGAAGCAAUCCCUUUUCUUUUGAUUCAUACCUUCCUACAACGCCUACUACAGGGUCAUGCACACAGUAGAUUUAACAAAACAUAUAAACUUAGUGAUUGUGUACUCUAGAUGAAGUUCAAAGGAAGAUUAAAAUUCUUUUUUGACACACUAUUAAUAAUUGUUUCUUAUACACUAGUAUAUACUAAGAUGUUUUAGAGAAAAGAAGAUAGCUACAAUUGUUGUUGAUGAAAUCAGUUUUCAAAAUGUCAUUCACUGUAUUUGUCCAAAGAUUUCAUGAAAAUGAAAAUUUUAUCUCUGAGUGUCCACUUGAAAAUCAGCUGAUGUGUGUACAGACAGAUGAUAUUCAUGUGAAUAAAACUAAACAUAUGUGUUAUCUCUCAAAUUUUCUUCUUAGAAUUUCAAAAAAUUGCUCAAGUUUGUGAAUACAAAGUGAAAGAAACAACCAAUAAAUCAGAG